GAUGAACGCUGGCGGCGUGCCUAAUACAUGCAAGUCGAGCGAACAGACGAGGAGCUUGCUCCUCUGACGUUAGCGGCGGACGGGUGAGUAACACGUGGAUAACCUACCUAUAAGACUGGGAUAACUUCGGGAAACCGGAGCUAAUACCGGAUAAUAUAUUGAACCGCAUGGUUCAAUAGUGAAAGACGGUUUUGCUGUCACUUAUAGAUGGAUCCGCGCCGCAUUAGCUAGUUGGUAAGGUAACGGCUUACCAAGGCAACGAUGCGUAGCCGACCUGAGAGGAUGAUCGGCCACACUGGAACUGAGACACGGUCCAGACUCCUACGGGAGGCAGCAGUAGGGAAUCUUCCGCAAUGGGCGAAAGCCUGACGGAGCAACGCCGCGUGAGUGAUGAAGGUCUUCGGAUCGUAAAACUCUGUUAUUAGGGAAGAACAAAUGUGUAAGUAACUAUGCACGUCUUGACGGUACCUAAUCAGAAAGCCACGGCUAACUACGUG
rnacentral:rRNA from 1 species